CUAAAGCCGAGGAUGAAGUUUUUGUCUAAUCCUGAGGACAACUGAGAUGGUCUGCUGUCAAAUAAAGGCUAUGAGGGAGACAGAAGCUUCACCUUGGGAGCCCAUGGGAGUAACUAAAAGAAAAGACACUAUUGCCAGACACUGAUUUUAAAGGCAUCAGAGUUUUCUCGGAGAUCUGAGUUCAGGAGAGGAAAAAACAAACAAACAACUAUCAUUUUAUUAUUGAAAAGCAAAUGACAGAUAAGUGGACUCCAAGAAAAAUCCAGAAAACAUAGAUAUUCUACUAGAAUUCCUGGGAUCAGAUAAAUCAAUUGGUUGAAAAACUGGUCUCAAUGUAGCCUGAUACUCAGAAGUUGGCAUUCUCACAGAAAGAGUCAUUAAGUUACAGCUUGCAAGAUGGGAAAGGGAUCUUCUAACGACAGAGGGGGGUGACACCAGGGAUGUGCAUGUACAACUGACACAGAGAGAAGGUCGCUAUCUUCAAGCCAACAAGAGAAACCAAAACUGCCAACACCUUCAUCUUGGACUUCUGGGCUUCAGAACUGUGAAGAAAUAAAUGUCUGUGUUUAAGACAUUUAGUCUUUGGUAUCUUGCUAUGGCAACCUGAGCAGACUAAUAUACCACCUUAAGCCUUAUGCUGUGGUCAUACUUCCCACUGUUCUUGGAGUGCCUGGGUGGCUCAGCCAGUUAAGCGUCCGACUUCAGCUCAGGCCAUGAUCUCGAGGUUCAUGGGUUCCAGACCCACAUCAGGCUCUAUGCUGACAGCUAGGAGCCUGGAGCCUGCUUCAGAUUCUGUGUCUCCCUCUCUCUUUGCCCCUCCCCCACUUGCUCUC